rnacentral:pre_miRNA from 1 species
AGCCUUCUGUAUCCUUGCUGAGAUUUCGUCACACAUCAGACCACAAGGGAUGAUGAGACCUCCAAGUUAAGUGAAGCA